rnacentral:rRNA from 1 species
GCAAUGCGGGGUGCUACCAUGCAGUCGACAGUAGCCUUGAGCAAUCGAGGUGAGAGUGGCAAACGGGUGAGUAACACGUAGGCGACCAACCCCGAAGCGGGGAAUAACUGCUGGAAACGGUAGCUAAUACCCCAUGUGCCUGGGGAUUCGGUUUUCCAGGUAAAGCCUUAGGGUGUUUCGGGACGGGCCUGCGGCCCAUCAGGUAGUUGGUAGGGUAACGGCCUACCAAGCCGAUGACGGGUAGGGGGCGUGAGAGCGUGACCCCCCACACUGGCACUGCGACACGGGCCAGACUCCUACGGGAGGCAGCAGUGAGGAAUAUUGCACAAUGGGCGCAAGCCUGAUGCAGCAACGCCGCGUGGGCGAUGAAGGCCUUCGGGUUGUAAAGCCCUUUUCUGGGGGACGAGGAAGGACGGUACCCCAGGAAUAAGGUUCGGCUAACUACGUGCCAGCAGCCGCGGUAAUACGUAGGAACCGAGCGUUAUCCGGAUUCACUGGCGUAAAGCGCGUGUAGGCGGUUUCACAAGUCGUAUGUGAAAGCUCCUGGCUUAACUGGGAGAGGUCGUACGAGACUGUGGGGCUUGAGGUCGGGAGAGGGACGUGGAAUUCCCGGUGCAGUGGUGGAAUGCGUAGAUAUCGGGAGGAACACCAGUGGCGAAGGCGACGUCCUGGUCCGCACCUGACGCUCAGACGCGAAAGCGUGGGGAGCAAACAGGCUUAGAUACCCUGGUAGUCCACGCUGUAAACGGUGGAUACUAGGUGUUGGUGGUUUAACGCCAUCAGUGCCGAAGCAAACGCGUUAAGUAUCCCGCCUGGGGACUACGGCCGCAAGGCUAAAACUCAAAGGAAUUGACGG